CCUUCGAUAGCUCAGUUGGUAGAGCGGUGGACUGUAGAGAGAGAGAGAUGACGCAGAAUGUAGUAAUCCAUAGGUCACUGGUUCAAAUCCGGUUCGAAGGA
rnacentral:tRNA from 1 species